GUCUGCAAAUCUAACUUAAUGUACGCGUAAAAUUUCACAUUUAUAAUACUGCCAUAUGUUGUUGUGUAUUUUAAUGAAUGUUGAUGCCAUCUACGACAAAAGAAGUGACAGCGAAAAAAAGAACAAAAUUGGCGACAGGAAAGGAAAAGAAGACUUCUACCCAAGGCGUGAUAUCUUUACAGGAAAGAAAAAGAUGACUUCUACCCAAGGCAUGAUACAUUUACAGGAAAGGAAAAGAAGACGUGUACUCAAGGCAAGAUAUAUUUACAGGAAAGGAAAAGAAAACUUCUACUCAAGGCAUGAUAUAUUUACAGGAAAGGAAAAGAAGACUCCAACUUAAGGCAUGAUCUACUACUACUGUAUAAAGACACAAAAAAAAAGACAGAGCUUAUUGUCUAUUUAAUCUGUAUGGUUUGAAUUAUAAUAUUUGCUGUAAAUGUUGAACAGUUGAAAUUAAAACCACAUUCUGCAAGAUUAUAAA